AAUGGCAAUGGAUGUAUAACAUCUAAAAAUCCUUCAGCCUGUGUCUCUUCUCUCUACCUAGAUGUCAUAGUACUGGUUUUCUUAUUUCACAAGAAAGAAUCAGUGUCAUUUAGACCCUCUUGAAUAACCUUCUGGCAGAGCAAGUUGAAGCAAAACCAAGAAGGUGGGUGAGAUUAUUCUGAAAGCUGCCAGAUGAGAGGAAAUAGAAACUAGGCUGAAGGAAGCUGUGUGCCUGGGAGCAUAACAUGUCUCCUACACAGCCUGACAAGUGUGAUUCCUGUUGGGUGUCUCCAGACAGCUGCCACCAAAGAAAAAAUCCUAGUUGUCCACAAACCAGAAAAAAAAAAACCAAAGGCAAGUGAGCACCUCCAAGAACUAA